AUGGCGGCUGGAUCGAGCUCACAGGGGAGGCAGGGCAAGGAGACGACGGAGGAGCUACUUGCCCGGUUGAAUUUGCAGGAGGAGGAGGACGAUGACUUUGUGUGGGAGGAGGAAUUGCCGGACCUGGGAGCGCCGGCGAAGUGGCUUGCCAUAGCAAGGGUGCAUACAUCAAGGACUUUCAGCCCUAACGCUCUAUAUGGGGACAUGCGUGCAGCAUGGAAUCCUGCAAGACCGAUGGUCUGGGGGAAGAUCAAGGACAAUCUGUUCUCAAAUUGGAUGCCUUGGAGUUUGGAACAAGGCGAUGGCCGAGGGGCCUUAGCUGUUCAGAGAUCAGGCGGUGAUUAUGGUUGA
rnacentral:rRNA from 1 species